GACGAACGCUGGCGGCGUGCUUAACACAUGCAAGUCGAACGGAAAGGCCCUGCUGGCAGGGUACUCGAGUGGCGAACGGGUGAGUAACACGUGGGUGAUCUGCCCUGCACUUCGGGAUAAGCCGGGGAAACUGGGUCUAAUACCGGAGAGGAGCUAUUUUUAGUGUGAUGGUUGGAAAGUUUUUUCGGUUUUGGAUGAGCUCGCGGCCUAUCAGCUUGUUGGUGGGGUAAUGGCCUACCAAGGCGGCGACGGGUAGCCGGCCUGAGAGGGUGAACGGCCACAUUGGGACUGAGAUACGGCCCAGACUCCUACGGGAGGCAGCAGUGGGGAAUAUUGCACAAUGGGCGCAAGCCUGAUGCAGCGACGCCGCGUGGGGGAUGACGGCCUUCGGGUUGUAAACCCCUUUCGCUAGGGACGAAGCUUUUUGUGACGGUACCUAGAUAAGAAGCACCGGCUAACUACGUG
rnacentral:rRNA from 1 species